rnacentral:rRNA from 1 species
GACGAACGCUGGCGGCGUGCUAAACACAUGCAAGUCGAACGAAGAGCGAUGGAAGCUUGCUUCUAUCAAUCUUAGUGGCGAACGGGUGAGUAACGCGUAAUCAACCUGCCCUUCAGAGGGGGACAACAGUUGGAAACGACUGCUAAUACCGCAUACGAUCUAAUCUCGGCAUCGAGGAUAGAUGAAAGGUGGCCUCUACAUGUAAGCUAUCACUGAAGGAGGGGAUUGCGUCUGAUUAGCUAGUUGGAGGGGUAACGGCCCACCAAGGCGAUGAUCAGUAGCCGGUCUGAGAGGAUGCACGGCCCCAUUGGGACUGAGACACGGCCCAGACUCCUACGGGAGGCAGCAGUGGGGAAUCUUCCGCAAUGGACGAAAGUCUGACGGAGCAACGCCGCGUGAGUGAUGACGGCCUUCGGGUUGUAAAGCUCUGUUAAUCGGGACGAAAGGCCUUCUUGCGAACAGUUAGAAGGAUUGGCGGUACCGGAAUAGAAAGCCACGGCUAACUACGUG